CCCUGGGACAUUAAUGCACAUGGUCUGCUCCAACAAGCUGCAUUCAGACCCUUGAUUACCUGUAGCCACGCCUCCUGCUCAGACCAGGAAGUGCCUCUACCCACAGCCAGGAGUAUGGAGCCCCUGUGCAGAGAAACCACCCAGAGAACUGGAGGGGAGGUUGGCUAACAGCCGCUGCAGGCCGGGUCAACUCUACCACUCCAAAAACUCAAAUGCUAAUGUCAGUUGAUGAGGAGACGCUCCUCCUGCUCCUGAGAGGACAAACAUUCAGAGAUAAUCAGAUCCAGACGGAGCCGUGAGGUUAACGUGUCUGCAGCCGGAUUCAGCUUUACUUCUGCGGCUGCUCAGGAGUUCCAGCUCAGGAUGGAAGGAAGCUCGAUCAAGUCAUGAGCAGGAGAGACGGAGACGGGUCAGGAGGACGAGUAUCACAGAGUCCCUGAAUGCCCCCUAACAGAGGGUCUCUGUCCGUGAGCAGCUGACUCCGCCCACCUGACCCCGCCUGCAGGACGAGAUCUGAUUGGUCCGUUUCCUCCAGACAGUCCUGAUAACAGAGUUUUUCUGUGGUCACUCCUCAGAGAUGUGACUGUGCUGAGUGAUCGAGCCCAUAGUACCGUUUCCUCCUCCCGGAGCCUGAAGGCGUCACAGCCGUCCGCUCAGACGAGGAUGGUGACGAAGGUUUUGCAGCUUCCUCGGACAAACUGCUGCUGACGACGGUGAGCUGGAAGUCGUCGUCCAUGGAGAUCAAAGAACUUCCCCACCACACUGAUUUCCAUCCCCUCGACCUCUCUGGAGCUCUGAGGGAGGACGACCAACAUCCAGACAUGAAGAGAAGAAAGAGAGAGAGUGCAAAGAGUCACGUUAGAAGGAGUCCAUGUCUACUUUCACGUCUUUAAAGAUUAAAGGUUCAUAAUUACCCGCUGAGGUUGAGGUGAGGAUGCUGCAGAGGACGAUGAUGCUGGUGAUGAUGAUGAUGAAGGUGGAGUGAUGUAGUUGAAGAUGGGGGACAGGAGCUGUCUCAGCUGAGGCGUGCACAGAUCCUGAGGAUGUUCCGGCACUGAGUCCGGACCGGACGGAUUGCAGAACGACAGCUCAACAAAAUCUGACAGAGACGAUGAAACAGAGAGAGAGAGGCUCAGACACGUUAACAUUUUAAAGAAACACGUCACUUCUAAAGAAACUUCAUCCACGUGUUCGUGUCUCACCUCCUGUCAGAGGGAUGAUGGCGUCCCCGACUGCAGGAGCCAACUGAAGAAGCGCCUCCGGCUCCUCCCUCAGUUUGGAGAAGAGAUCUACAUCACUGGUGGGGUUCGAACCUGAGACCUCAGGUAGACGCUCACUGUCAGAGUCACUGAUGUCAGAAGUCUCCACAUCCUGCGGUGACAGAGGCGGCGUGUGAGCUUCAGCUUCAGACAAGCGGCUGCUUCGAGUCUGCUCCACGGAGAACACGACGUCCGGCUGCUCCACGGCGCUGCAGAGGAAGAAGGAGAGGAAGUCAGCGUCAGAAAGAAUCAUGUUCAUCUUUUCAUCACUUUAAAGAUUUUACUUUGUUCUUCUUUUUCAGUACCUGAGGAUGAAGUUGAGGCAGACGACGGCCUCGGGCUGAGACGUCUUGCUGUUGUAGAGGACGGUGGCCUGAGUCUGCGCCCAGACGAAGCCGCCGCCGUUCACCAGGAAACGGUAACAGCUGGUGCUCACCUGACCUUUGGACAACACUUCAUGUGACAGAGACAGAAAAGAGACGUUAACACCAGGAACAGAGACUGUUUUCACAAGCAUUCAUGCAGAAUUAAAUCAAAUGAAAGUCUUAUAAAUAUGCAGCUUCUCAAACUGACAUGUGUGCAGACUCUUGUUGACGUGAUCAGAAUCGAGUGCGUGGUGAAACUCGUAUGCUGAGCAGCCAAUCAGAUCAUCAGGUCAGAUCUUGAGCGUUCACCCUACCUGCCCUCGCAGUGUGUGAAGCGCAGGUCCAUGCUGUGGCGGGUGAGGAAAGUGUGUGUGUCCAGAAGGAACUCCACGCUGGACGGGUGAGGGACGGGCUCACACAGCAGAGUCAUGACUCGGGCUGAGGGGGGCGACGUGGAGCUGCAGCUGAAGGGACGCAUGUGACCUGUGCAGUGAAGGACCUGCAGAGAGGAGAGGAGAGGAGAGUCGUAGAGACGAGUCUCCUUUCUCAAACCUGACUUCACUCAGAAUAAAUGAUGAAACAACUCA